GACCCAGACUCCUACGGGAGGCAGCAGUGGGGAAGAUUGCACAAUGGGCGCAAGCCUGAUGCAGCCAUGCCGCGUGUAGGAAGAAGGCCUUCGGGUUGUAAAGUACUUUCAGCGGGGAGGAAGGUGUUGAGGUUAAUAACCUCAGCAAUUGACGUUACCCGCAGAAGAAGCGCCGGCUAACUCCGUGCCAGCAGCCGCGGUAAUACGGAGGGUGCAAGCGUGAAUCGGAAUUACUGGGCGUAAAGCGCACGCUGGCGGUCUGUCAAGUCGGAUGUGAAAUCCCCGGGCUCAACCUGGGAACUGCAUUCGAAACUGGCAGGCUGGAGUCUUGUAGAGGGGGGUCGAGUUCCGGGUGUAGCGCUGCAAUGCGUCGAGCUCUGGCGGACUUCCGGUGGCGCUGGCGGCCCCCUGG
rnacentral:rRNA from 1 species